CCAACAGCAAGAUGCAGAGGUUAUAUAGUGGGGUGUGUUGAAGCCGCGUAGGCAUAUCCCUUCGAGUUUUAACCGAGUGAGCAACGCGUGUGGUGGCUUAGGUGGUGCUGCUGCUGCUGCUCUUUCUCUCUUUUGUAAGGUUGUAUGCAGAGACUCGUUUCUUUCUAUAAAAAGCCCUCUUACCCAACAACCCCCACCACCCUUACUCUAUUAAGCCCCCAAGGGCCAAUUCUCCCACACGCCUAUGUCUCAAUUAUUCUCUACUUUCCCUCUGCUUUGAAAAGAAAAAAAAUUUGAUUAUGUUUGCUCGAACGACCCACAAGAAUCUGCCCCACUUCCGCUGCAUCGUCACCCAUCCAUCAGCCUUCGUACCAGGUCUGCAACUAGAAACCCAGCACAUCUGUUGUUCGUAUCCAACACCAGCCGCAUCACCACACCGUUUCCUGCACUGCAUCCGCACCCUUUGAUCGGACCCGCACCACUUGCACCUCCGCACCAGACCCAUGAAAUCGUCUACCCACCACUGACUGCGCUGCCUUCGCACCGUACCCGCAUCCUCGCUGCUGCUUUGAUCCGCACUUCAUCGCCUCUGCUAUCCCAUCGCGUCAAGAAUCCCAUAAUUGAGAUCCCAUACUGCACUUGGAUUUGUUUUCUCUGGAGAACACUGCCCAGAUAGAAGAAGAGAAUAAGGAAACAGAAGCCGAAAAAUAGAAGAAGAAAAAAUGAAAAAAAAAAGGAAAAGAAAGAAAAAGAAAAACCGUUGUCCAAUACAAGAAAAAGUUAUAUUGUUUGUUGAAGAGGAAAGCAUUCGAAAGGUCCCAGGAGAAAGAAAAAAAAUUGA